GUGGGGAAUAUUGGACAAUGGGCGCAAGCCUGAUCCAGCAAUGCCGCGUGUGUGAAGAAGGUCUUCGGAUCGUAAAGCACUUUCGACGGGGACGAUGAUGACGGUACCCGUAGAAGAAGCCCCGGCUAACUUCGUGCCAGCAGCCGCGGUAAUACGAAGGGGGCUAGCGUUGCUCGGAAUUACUGGGCGUAAAGGGCGCGUAGGCGGCUCUGUGAGUCAGGCGUGAAAUUCCUGGGCUUAACCUGGGGACUGCGCUUGAUACUGCAGGGCUUGAGGCCGAGAGAGGGUGGUGGAAUUCCCAGUGUAGAGGUGAAAUUCGUAGAUAUUGGGAAGAACACCGGUGGCGAAGGCGACCACCUGGCUCGGUUCUGACGCUGAGGCGCGACAGCGUGGGGAGCAAACAGGAUUAGAUACCCCAGUAGUCC
rnacentral:rRNA from 1 species